rnacentral:rRNA from 1 species
AAUAUUGGACAAUGGGCGAAAGCCUGAUCCAGCCAUGCCGCGUUUGUGAAGAAGGUCUUCGUAUUGUAAAGCACUUUAAUUUGGGAGGAAGGGCAGUAAUUUAAUACCUUGCUGUUUUGACGUUACCGACAGAAUAAGCACCGGCUACCUUCGUGCCAGCAGCCGCUGUAAGACGAACGGUGCAAGCGUUAAUCGGAAUUAGUGGGAGUAAAGCGGGAGUCGGUGGAUUGUGAAAGUGGAAGUUGAAGGCCCGGGAUCAAACCAGGAACUGCUUUUAAAACUAGCAAGGUAGAAUAUGGCAGGAGGUAGUGGAAUUUCCUGUGUUGCGGUGGAAUGCGUAAGUAUAGGGAAGAACAACAGUGGCGGAGGGGACCUCCUGGGCUAAUACUGACACUGGGGGGCGAAAGGGUGGGGAGCAAAC